AUGGGAAGGAGGUCGUCCUUCUUCUGCGCCAUAUUCAGCUUCUCGCGGAGGUCGAGGCGGUACGCCUACGUCGACGACGAGGACAGCGACUGGGAGCAGCCGCCGGCGCCGGGGCUGCGCAAGGUCAGGUCCAGCGACGAGGACUCCGGGUGGUGGGUCGGCGAGCGCGACGUCGACCAGAAGGCCGCCGACUUCAUCGCCGGCUUCCGCCAGAGGAGCCUCGUCGCCUGA
rnacentral:rRNA from 1 species